rnacentral:rRNA from 1 species
GAUGAACGCUGGCGGCGUGCCUAAUACAUGCAAGUCGAGCGAACGGACGAUAAGCUUUCUUCUCUGCUGUUAGCGGCGGACGGGUGAGUAACACGUGGAUAACCUUCUUAUUUUACUGGGAUAACUUCGGGAAACCGGAGCUAAUACUGGCUAAUAUUUUGAACCGCAUGGUUCAAAAGUUAAUGACGGUCUUGCUGUCACUUAUAGAUGGAUCCGCGCUGCAUUAGCUAGUUGGUAAGGUAACGGCUUACCAAGGCAACGAUGCAUAGCCGACCUGAGAGGGUGAUCGGCCACACUGGAACUGAGACACGGUCCAGACUCCUACGGGAGGCAGCAGUAGGGAAUCUUCGGCAAUGGGCGAAAGCCUGACGGAGCAACGCCGCGUGAGUGAUGAAGGUCUUCGGAUCGUAAAACUCUGUUAUUAGGGAAGAACAGAUGUGUAAGUAAAUGUGCACAUCUUGACGGUACCUAAUCAGAAAGCAACGGCUAACUACGUG